rnacentral:rRNA from 1 species
GACGAACGCUGGCGGCGUGCUUAACACAUGCAAGUCGAACGAAGAGCGAUGGAAGCUUGCUUCUAUCAAUCUUAGUGGCGAACGGGUGAGUAACGCGUAAUCAACCUGCCCUUCAGAGGGGGACAACAGUUGGAAACGACUGCUAAUACCGCAUACGAUCUAACCUCGGCAUCGAGGAUGGAUGAAAGGUGGCCUCUAUUUAUAAGCUAUCACUGAAGGAGGGGAUUGCGUCUGAUUAGCUAGUUGGAGGGGUAACGGCCCACCAAGGCGAGGAUCAGUAGCCGGUCUGAGAGGAUGAACGGCCACAUUGGGACUGAGACACGGCCCAGACUCCUACGGGAGGCAGCAGUGGGGAAUCUUCCGCAAUGGACGAAAGUCUGACGGAGCAACGCCGCGUGAGUGAUGACGGCCUUCGGGUUGUAAAGCUCUGUUAAUCGGGACGAAAGGCCUUCUUGCGAAUAGUUAGAAGGAUUGACGGUACCGGAAUAGAAAGCCACGGCUAACUACGUG